AGUGAACGCUGGCGGUAGGCCUAACACAUGCAAGUCGAACGGCAGCACAGUAAGUGCUUGCUCUUACGGGUUUCCGGUCGCGGACGGGUGAGGUAUACAUCGUAACCUACUUUUUCGUGGGGGUUAACGUAGGGAAACUUACUCUCAUACCGCAUACGACCUUCGGUUGAAAGCAGGGGAUCUUCGCACCUUGCGCGCUUCAAUGUGCCGAUGUCGGAUUAGCUAGUUGGCGGGGUAAAGGCCCACCAAGGGGACGCUCCGUAGCUGGCCUGAGAGGAUGAUCAGCCACACUGGAACUGGGACAGGGUCCAGACUCCUCCGGGAGGCGCAAGUGGGGAAUAUUGGACAAUGGGCGCAGGCCUGACCCAGCCAUACGGCGUGGGGGAGGAGGGCCUUGGGUUGGUAAAGCCCUUUGGUUGGGAAGGAAAAGCGGCAGGUUAAUACCCCGCCGUUCUGACGGUACCCAAAGAAUAAGCACCGGCUAACUUCGUG
rnacentral:rRNA from 1 species